CAUGCUCUCUCCUAAUUUCCCUCUAACCUAAUUUUUCCUCUACCUCGCCGUCUCCUUCCUCAACCGAACCUCGCCGUCUCCUUCCUCAACCGAACCUCGCCGUCUCCUUCCUCAACCGAAUCAUGCUCUCUCCUUCCUCAAAUCGGUCCUCUCUCUCAUGAUUUCAGAUCUUUCUCUUCUCUAAAUCCAUUUCCUUCAAGAGAAAAUCGUGAACGAUUUGCAGUAGUUUGCAGCCGCUCAUCUUCGUUUCUCACAACUUCCUUUCAAGCAACUCCAAAAUGACUAAGAGAACCAAGAAGGUCGGUAUUGUUGGCAAAUACGGGUUGUGUUCGAUGUAGAAUGAAAUGGGGAUCGAAACUGAUGUCGUGACGAUGCAAAGUGAAGUUCGAACUGUUUCUUGUUCUCACUUCUCUCACUCAUUCAUUCUCAGAUUUCUUUAUUUUUAAUUUAGGGUUUGUGAUGAUUGUUGUUGUUUACAGGUGAGUAAAGGACUUUGAACCAGUAAUCUCACUCUACAAGUGAUUAGGGUUUGUUGACUUCUUUUAUUUCUUUAUGCAGCUUCCAACUCAGUUAUAUAUGGUAGUGGUAAGCACUCUAGCUGAAGACUAAUGAGUUAUGUUACCUAGGAAAUCGUUAUUGUUAUCUGAAUUUCCAUUUCUCAAUUAGACUGUACGAUGUUACAUUUUUACUGAUGUAUUGAUAUGCAGUUGUAUACCUUUGUAACUGUAGCACUUGGUUCACAAUCCAUUUACUAUGGAUACAUAUACAAGAGACAGCUCAAAAUGCAAAUUCGGAUCCCUAUGCUGAGAUACAUUCAGUAAACUCAAAUUGUGUAAUACAACACUUUCAUCUGUAUUCUAUCAUUGCAUGAAUAAGCAGGUUGAGACACCAACAAAAGUCAGUGAUGCUGAACAGAGUCAUGGAUUUGAUGAUUUCAGUAGAGGCGCUGUUCUGAGUUCUCCUAUCUACCGGAAGAGAAUUAUUCCAGCAAACCUUCCAAGCAUAUCUACCGGAAGAGAAUUAUUCUACCAAAGCAUCGUUUCAGCAACAAUCAUUGGACAUCGGUCAUCACGAUUCUGAAUGAUAGACCUUAGCGCUUGAUAUUCAGUUGGAGGUCCACCGAGAAUCCUCUCCAACUGAUCAUGAUGUGAGAUUGGAUCUCCAAUUGAUUAAAGAAUGUCUGCCAUAUACUGAAUGUGACCUAGGGACUUCGGAUGUCGUCUAAGCUAUGUACUCUGGAAUUCAUAAUCAUCAAGUAACCUUUUGGAUGUCGUCUAAGCUAUGUACUCUGGAAUUCAUAAUCAUCAAGUAACCUUUUGGACUUUUGGUGCUGCUGAACAAUGACACCAAAAUACACUCUUAUCACUUGAAUGGAUAUGCAUUUUUGUGUUAAUGUAUCAGCCAAUGGUCUAUUUUCUUUUUCUUUCUUGUUAAGUUGGUUGAAAGGGAAGAGCAUAUCCAUCUAACUAAAUUGUAUUGUUAUGUAUCUCUCUCAGGAAUCUGGAUAAAUAUCGGUCACCGACUAUGUCGGAGUGACGAGCACGGAAUGUUUAAAGGCUUUUGAAAAAGAGUGGCUCAUCUGACAUCUUGAUUUUCAUAAUUUCGUUGAAUAUUUAUACUCCAAAACACAAGCUGCACUAAGUGGAAGAAGGUUGUCCUGAAGAUGUGGAAGAACAAGGAAAACAGUAGAAGAAGUUGCAGCUCUUGUAAGGUCUUUGCCUGGAGAAGAGCAGCCAAUCUUGACAUAAUAAUGCCUUUGGCAGCAAAGGUGGAGGUUGCACUAAAAGAUCUUAUACUUUCUGAUUAUGCAAAGAAAAACAAUGCGCAUGCAUGAAGCAAACCAAGUGAUAGUUGUAACAACAAAGAUUGUGAUUGAGAUAUGGAAGAAGCUUGUGAUCAUGAAGAUGUGGAAGAAGGUUGUCCUGAAGAUGUGGAAGAACAAGGAGAUUAUCAAGAAGAAUAUUAAGAAGUUGUGUUUUAUAUUAUCUAGCUAUCUAGUUCUUAGAACUUUUGUUGUUAUUUUGGGAUGACUCUUUGAGAGAAACUUGUGUUUAAUUUA